rnacentral:rRNA from 1 species
CCUGGUAGUGGGGGAUAACAACCGGAAACGGUUGCUAAUACCGCAUACGUCCUACGGGAGAAAGUGGGGGAUCUUCGGACCUCACGCUAUCAGAUGAGCCUAGGUCGGAUUAGCUAGUUGGCGGGGUAAAGGCCCACCAAGGCGACGAUCCGUAACUGGUCUGAGAGGAUGAUCAGUCACACUGGAACUGAGACACGGUCCAGACUCCUACGGGAGGCAGCAGUGGGGAAUAUUGGACAAUGGGCGAAAGCCUGAUCCAGCCAUGCCGCGUGUGUGAAGAAGGUCUUCGGAUUGUAAAGCACUUUAAGUUGGGAGGAAGGGUCGUUACCUAAUACGUGAUGGCUUUGACGUUACCGACAGAAUAAGCACCGGCUAACUCUGUGCCAGCAGCCGCGGUAAU